UACGGGAGGCAGCGGUGGGGAAUAUUGCACAAUGGGCGCAAGCCUGAUGCAGCCAUGCCGCGUGUAUGAAGAAGGCCUUCGGGUUGUAAAGUACUUUCAGUCGUGAGGAAGGUGUUAAGGUUAAUAACCUUAGCAAUUGACGUUAGCGACAGAAGAAGCACCGGCUAACUCCGUGCCAGCAGCCGCGGUAAUACGGAGGGUGCGAGCGUUAAUCGGAAUUACUGGGCGUAAAGGGCACGCAGGCGGUUAAUAAGUUGGAUGUGAAAUCCCCGGGCUUAACCUGGGAAUGGCAUUCAAGACUGGUUAGCUAGAGUCUUGUAGAGGGGGGUAGAAUUCCAUGUGUAGCGGUGAAAUGCGUAGAGAUGUGGAGGAAUACCGGUGGCGAAGGCGGCCCCUGGACAAAGACUGACGCUCAUGUGCGAAAGCGUGGGGAGCAAACAGGGAUUAGAUACC
rnacentral:rRNA from 1 species